rnacentral:rRNA from 1 species
AUUGAACGCUGGCGGCAGGCCUAACACAUGCAAGUCGAGCGGAUGAAGGGAGCUUGCUCCUGGCUUCAGCGGCGGACGGGUGAGUAAUGCCUAGGAAACUGCCUGGUAGUGGGGGAUAACGUCCGGAAACGGGCGCUAAUACCGCAUACGUCCUGAGGGAGAAAGUGGGGGAUCUUCGGACCUCACGCUAUCAGAUGAGCCUAGGUCGGAUUAGCUAGUUGGUGGGGUAAAGGCCUACCAAGGCGACGAUCCGUAACUGGUCUGAGAGGAUGAUCAGUCACACUGGAACUGAGACACGGUCCAGACUCCUACGGGAGGCAGCAGUGGGGAAUAUUGGACAAUGGGCGAAAGCCUGAUCCAGCCAUGCCGCGUGUGUGAAGAAGGUCUUCGGAUUGUAAAGCACUUUAAGUUGGGAGGAAGGGCAGUAAGUUAAUACCUUGCUGUUUUGACGUUACCAACAGAAUAAGCACCGGCUAACUUCGUG